CCUACGGGAGGCAGCAGUGGGGAUUCUUAGGGAAGGCAGCAACCCGAAUCAGCCCAGCCGCGAAACCAUGAAGCCGCUAGGCCGCUAGAGCGAUGAAGGCCGUAGGGAGUAAACCCUUCACCCCGAGAAAGACGGUACCUCAGAGAAGCAUUGCUAUUUG
rnacentral:rRNA from 1 species